GACGAACGCUGGCGGCGUGCUUAACACAUGCAAGUCGAACGGAAAGGCCUGCUUUUCCUUGUGCAUUGCGUGUACUCGAGUGGCUAACGGGUGAGUAACACGUGAGUGUUCUGCCCCCAACUUGGUUAUAAGCCUGGGAAACUGGGUCUAAUUCCCGAUAGGACUGCAGGGUGGUGCCUGUGGUGGCAAACUUUUUUCUAGUGGUUGAGGAUGAGAUCGCGGCUUAUCUGCUUGUUGGUGGGGUAAUUGCCUACCAAGGCGGCGACGGGUAGCCGGCGUGAGAGGGUCGACGGCCGAAUUGGGACUGAGAUACGGCCCAGACGGCUACGAGAGGUAGGAGUGGGGAAGAUUGCAGAAUGGGCGGAAGGCUGAUGCAGCGAGGCAGCGAGGGAGAUGACGGGCUUGGGAUUGUAAGCUCCUAGGGACCAAGAGAAAGGCACCUGGUUGGAAGCGUGGUGACGGUAGUGGUAGAAGAAGCACCGGCUAACUACGUG
rnacentral:rRNA from 1 species